AUCUGUGUGAGGAGUGCUGAACGCCUCUUCAGGGUCGAAACAAGGACAGACUCCCUGAACGUGUUCCUCA
rnacentral:ncRNA from 1 species